rnacentral:rRNA from 1 species
UACGGAGGGUCCAAGCGUUAUCCGGAAUCAUUGGGUUUAAAGGGUCCGUAGGCGGUUUUGUAAGUCAGUGGUGAAAGCCCAUCGCUCAACGGUGGAACGGCCAUUGAUACUGUUAAACUUGAAUUAUUAGGAAGUAACUAGAAUAUGUAGUGUAGCGGUGAAAUGCUUAGAGAUUACAUGGAAUACCAAUUGCGAAGGCAGGUUACUACUAAUGGAUUGACGCUGAUGGACGAAAGCGUGGGUAGCGAACAGG